UACAGAGGUCUCAAGCGUUUGUUCGGAUUCAUUGGGCGUAAAGGGUGCGUAGGCGGCGCGGUAAGUUGCGUAUGAAAUCUCGGAGCUUAACUCCGAAACUGCAUUCGAUACUGCCGUGCUUGAGGACUGGAGAGGAGACUGGAAUUUACGGUGUAGCGGUGAAAUGCGUAGAUAUCGUAAGGAAGACCAGUGGCGAAGGCGGGUCUCUGGACAGUUCCUGACGCUGAGGCACGAAGGCCAGGGGGAGCAAAACGGGG
rnacentral:rRNA from 1 species